CUAAAAUACACACACAAAAAUAACGCCUGGGAAAGAGCUAAAAAGCUACGCCGGUAACAGAACGACCGCCCCCCGUCAUUCUUCACCAUCUUCAGCAUCGUCAAAACUUGAACACCCAAAAUAACACACACCCAUAUAAACGGACACACACACACAAAGAACACCAAAAAUCAGCGACACACCAGACUUGCAAGCUUCUUAGCUGCCGUUGCUAGAAAUUAGCCAGCUCUCACCCUUUCCAUUGUUGUCGCUGCCGGAGGUGAUGACCGGCGAUGGCUAUGACUGUCACUCUUGUGCUUAGUCGCUGUUUCUGACCUUUAUUUCCCCUCUACUUCUCUGUUUCGCUGGAGUCUCACCAUCGACGUCGAACGCACAUAAAACUGGCGAUAGUUGUCGAAACUGUUUAAAUUUGUUUCUACCGAGUUGUAUCAAAAUUAAGGUGUGGAUGUCGUUCGAGGUUGUCCGUUCGAGAUUUUCGGGCAGAUUCGUGGUUCUUUGAUGUUCCGAUCGCAGUCCGAAAUCGGAUCCAGAUUGCUGUUUUUUCUCUAAAUCUUGUAGCGUCCAAAUUCCUUUUGGAUUUCUGCUUGGCGAGAAUUCUUUAAGGUCCAUUUCUAACUGUACUCUUCAAUGUUUUUGAAUGAUUCAUGUGAAUGAGUUUGAUAAAAAUAGUUAGCUUAUGUGCCUUGAAAUUUUAUCUUGAUGUGCAAUUUGGUUAAAUAAAUAUGCUGCUAAUGAGCAUGAGUGUGAAGUUGUGUUUGAUUGAUUUACUAGAGUUAAAUAUUUUAUCUAAGUUGAAUAGGCUGUGUUGACAACUAAUGAGUCCAAGGAACUCAUUUCAUCUACUAGAUGGAUUAAGGUAGUAACCAUGUUUGAGGACGAAGAACGGUUCUAGGCCGUUGAACGAGAAGCUGAUCGUGAAGAUCUCUUCAGUACCUUAUUCAAUUAAUUAAGGCUUUUGAUAAUCUUUCUUUCGAUACCAAAAAAGAACAAAGGAGUGUGAAGUGAAAUCAGGAAGUUGGAUAAUGUAAAUAGCGUUGAAAUUGGCAAUGAAAUAAGAUAUCAGUAGCUUAUGACUUCGUCAUUUACAACUGAUAAUAAUAGGUUUGGUUGGUUAAAAUGUGAGGUAGUUCAUUUUACUUUUAUUUUUAUCAAUAUAGAUUCGCUAGUAGUAUGUAUUUAUGACAUUUGCGUGGCAUAAUUAUGGAUUCCAAAAUUAAGAUCGGAGUAUGCGUUCGCGCAACUUCGAACAAACUUUCUUAAUAAUAGAAUGGGUUUUCAUUGGCUACUAAUUAAUUUAGUUCAUCUAGACUUGGGGUGUGCCAUUUAGUGAAUUUUCUAUGGCCCUUGCAAACUUGAAAGUGCGUAGUUGCUUUAGGCGCGUAAUUUAAAUUAACUUCCUUAAACUCGGGUGUGCAUUUCAUGUGACCCAAAUUCAAAUCUCAACAACGCUAGAUAAAAUGUGUCGCAGACUGCGGGUGCAUUUCUUGUGGCGUGGUCCAAGGUGCAUUUUAAAUAGCGUUGAAUCUUAUUAAAAAAUGACUAAAAGCGGUUAAUAAAUUAAAAUCUACCAUAGGUUAAAACAUGUUUUAAAAUCAGAUAAUCAGGCCAAUAUUAACAGUUGAGCGACCGUGCUAAGACCACAGAACUUGGGAAUGCCUAACACCUUCUCCCGGGUUAACAGAAUUCCUUACCCGAAUUUCUGUGUUCGCGGACUGUAAAACAGAGUCAAUCUUUUCCUCGAUUCGGGAUUUGAACCGGUGACUUGGAACACCAUAAAUUAUCCCAAGUGGCGACUCUGAAUUUGAUUAAAUAAUCCCGUUUUGAUUUUCACUUAAAUUGAAAAAACUCCCUUACUCCUUUCGGGGGGUGUAGGUAAAAAGGAGGUGUGACAGCUCUGGCAACACUGCUGGGGAUCGAACCCAGAAUCUCUGGUUCAGGGUUCAGAAUUAGAGCUUAGAGGAAUUGUUAUAUUUGGAUUUAUUUAUUAUAUGGUUUUAUUCACAUGUUUGGGCCAAAUGUGCUAACUGCCGCUUUUACCGCUUUGAUAUUCUGUGAAUUGUAUAUAAACUGCUACGAAACCCUUCUUCUCUCUGAGUCUUCUAAAUCAUUUAGGGAGUGUGCACUUCGUCUGACUUCUCUUCUGUCUAUUGUCUUAUCCAAUUUUAGNNNNNNNNNNNNNNNNNNNUAUCCCCUGUGUGCCUUGGGACACCAUAAAUUAUCCCAAGUGGCGACUCUGAAUUUGAUUAAAUAAUCCCGUUUCGAUUGUCACUUAAAUUGAAAAAACUCCCUUACUCCUUUCGGAGGGUGUAGGUAAAAAGGAGGUGUAACAGCUCUGGCAACACUGCUGGGGAUCGAACCCAGAAUCUCUGGUUCAGGGUUCAGGAUUCGAGCUUAGAGGAAUUGUUAUAUUUGGAUUUAUUUAUUAUAUGGUUUUAUUCACAUGUUUGGGCCAAAUGUGCUAACUGCCGCUUUUACCGCUUUGAUAUUCUGUGAACUGUAUAUAAACUGCUACGAAACCCUUCUUCUCUCUGAGUCUUCUAAAUCAUUUAGGGAGUUUGCACUUCGUGUGACUUCUCUUCUGUCUAGAGUCUUAUCCAAUUGUAGAACGAGGUUCGGACAAGAUGCAAAGCCGGUGAAGCUUCUGUAUUCCCGGUACGCUGCCCCCCGGCUCGAUUUGUCCGCUCGGAUAAGCCAGGUCUAGAACAAUAAACCCAGGUUUUCAAACCUAGUAUAACAUAGCCUCAUACCGGAUCCCUAGUAGGAACGAUUGUUUGCAUCAUGUGCAUUUUGACUUUGAGGACUCAACACAGGGGUUGGGCCCGUCUAGGACUGGUGUACCCAAAAUAACAGACCAUCUUGAUGCAUCCUAUGUGCUACAUGUUGCAUUUUUCAAGGGUAAAAUGGUCAUUUGGCGAACUAAUGAUAGUUAAGGACAAAUAAAAAAAAGAGAGGGUGAAGUGUGAAGAGAGUGGGCCCAAUUAUGUUUUCUGUCUCAUUUUUUGUUAAGGAAAAAGAGCAUGAAAAUUCAAAAAAAGAUUUUGCACUCUUUCAUCAUUUUCCGAAAAUCAGAAAAUCAAAAAAAAAGGAAAAAGAAGAAAAUCCAAAAAGAGUUUACAUGUUUCAUCAUUUUUCAAAACAAAAGAUAAAAAAAUAUAUUUUCUCUGAAUUAGUUGUUAUUUAUUUUUCUCGCCCGUAUCCAAUCUGCCCGAACUACACAUACCUGAUUCUCGUCUUUCGGGGCGUGAUACGUAGGCAACCCACAUAGGGUCCGUUCUUCCUAGAAAAUCUUAGGUUCUUGGCUUUGCGGGGUCUUAGCCAAAUUUUGCACUUCUAGCCACCUUUUAGCUAAAUAAGUCAUUUUGCAAAAAUAGCCUCAAUCAUGUCUUGCAUGUGUCCAGUAGCGAGUAUUAUUGUCUUACAUAGCGUUGGUUUAAAGUUUUCUCAUACAGGUGUGGAUUUACUUACCGAAGUUUGAGCAUGACAGACACCCCGAGACCAUCCAGUCAGGAUCAUUCAAGAGUUGCUAAAGGGGAUUUUUCUUUUUGUGCUUUGAGUCUGUUUUUCUUUUUAUGUUUUCUUUUACCUUCUAGUUUUAUACAGUAAUGUCGAGUCUUUUGUUAUUGUAUUUACUAUUUUCAUAUUGACAAAGAGUGUGUUAUAAAUCAAAGAACCAAG
rnacentral:lncRNA from 1 species